CUGCUUUUGGGGUUAUCCUAUGCUGUUUGGUAAAUCAUCUAGAAGUGGCUUUUGGUCCGAAUUGCUUCUCCUAGAAUCUGAAAUUGAGAAGCACCCAUCUACCAGCUUUGGGAAGCUGCUUCUGAAGAAACACGGAGUGAACAGUAGCUCAUUAAAUGAAAUUAUCUGUUUUUUCCUUUUAUGUCCUCAAGACCUCUCUAUCUGUCGACCCAGAUAGGGUUUGUUAUGCUCGACGUUUCUUCCCAGUCUCCUCCUCAAAACACAUCUUGCCAUCGAUCCUCCGCCACGCCCCAAGCCCAAAGCAUCGAUCGAUCGAUCUCUCCGGCGUCUUGAAAAGCCAAUUCUGUCGCUCCUCCGCCACGCCCUAAGCCCAAAGCAUCGAUUGAUCGAUCUGUCCUGUGUCUUGAAAAGCCGUUGCCGUCGCUCCUCCGCCACGCCCCAAGCCCAAAGCAUCGAUCGAUCGAUCUCUCCGGCGUCUUGAAAAGCCAAUUCCCGGAUCGAUCUCUCCUGCGUCUUCAAGGUGCUUGGGGGAAGGAGCUCAGAUGUUCAUGCAAAAACCAAUCAAACAGUCAGACAUUAAGCAAUUGAGAUGUCAUCUGAUGAACUGCAGAAGCUGAACACACAUACCUUGUUCUGGAGGAGAAGUGAAGAGAAGCUAAAGAAAUCACCUGCUAAUUUUGUUUUUGGGUUUUGUUUCCUCAAAACUUGCUAUCUUCAUAUCUUGAUGAGUUCUUUUAAAUGCACUUCCAUCUCACUGUUGUCCUUAGUGUGACUGAAAUCAUUUGUUACUGUGGUGAAUUCACUGAUAAACUCCGAGUUUGGGCCAAUAAUAUUGUUUGUACAUCAUAUUAUGAA